AUGAGGGGUGGGGUGGGCCAUAGGCAGUUUUGGAAAAGGCAAUAUUCAAUUGGUAAAAAGACAUUUUUCAGAAAGAGCCAAUCAGGAGACAGCAGGACCCCAUCCCCUGCCCCAGCGUGCACUCCAGGCAGCUUUUUGGCUAGAAGCUCGUCGUCUCCAGAGUGGGAGUUGCGUGGUUUGGACUCAGCACCCAGUGAGGAUAAUUCCCUCCCGAACCGUCAGUCUCCCCAGGUCUUUGCGGAUAUGCCAACUUCUCUGGAAGGAGCAGUCUCACUGUCUUAUCCCAGCAUCUGCCCAGCUCCCACCCAGCUCAGCAAAGGUUUAUGGAUUCCUGUGGCAUGCAAGGCACCAUCAGACCCUG
rnacentral:lncRNA from 1 species